UACAGAGGGUGCAAGCGUUGUUCGGAAUUAUUGGGCGUAAAGGGUGCGUAGGCGGUGCGGUAAGUCUCUUGUGAAAUCUCCAGGCUCAACCUGGAGCCUGCAAGGGAAACUGCCGUGCUUGAGUGUGGGAGAGGUGCGUGGAAUUCCUGGUGUAGCGGUGAAAUGCGUAGAUAUCAGGAGGAACACCUGUGGCGAAAGCGGCGCACUGGACCACAACUGACGCUGAGGCGCGAAAGCUAGGGGAGCAAACAGG
rnacentral:rRNA from 1 species